AGAGAGAGAGAGAGAAAAGUAAACUGAAAAAAAAAAAAAAAAACCUUUGUAGCCAUCUGAUCCGAGCUCGACUCCUUAAAAUGGCGGCUAAUGUUAACGAUUGUCUGAACUCAUCUUUCGGAUGUGCAGCUGGGAAAAAUUUCCUAGAGCAAGUUUGAUAGAUAUCUUGGUGGUCGUUUUGAUGUGGUUUGUUUUCUACAAUGGCUUCCGAUAUUUUGCCGAGUUUUGUAGGAGGGAACUGUUGUGCAACACAGGAAUUGCAAGAACUUUCAGCACCAGCUGUAACUUUAAAUGAGUAUGUCUUAAAGUGCGUGAAGUUGCGUUUUAUGUUUUCUUUACCGCAGCCUAAAUUGCCGUUGUAUGUUUCAGCUACAGCGUAAACAUAAUUGCUUCUUUUGAUGUUGAAACUCAUACGAUAUUUUCCUUAAUAUUUCGUAUUUGGAACGAAAAUUUUCUGCAACUGAGUUUGAUUUUGUAA